ACGUGACCCCUCCCUUUAGCGGGUGGAAGGUGUGGCUGCGCGGCGCUAGGCGGUGGUCUGUGGAGCUGGACGGCGUUGGCGGAGCAUCCGGGAUCGGGAGAGGGGAGGCGCCUGGACCGGCUCCAACGUCUCCGUGGAGAGGAAGCAGGUGUAGACAGCAGCAAGACGGAACUGUGAUGAGGGAAUUCUCUGUGUAGCAUAGAUGUGUGCUCACGUUCUCCGGGGAGUUUUGAAAUCAAUAUUGGCCCCGUUGCCCUGAAUGGUUACAAGGAAAGAACACUGGACUUGGAGUCAGAAGACCUUCGUCCAAGUCAUUCCCUGCUCUAAGUCCCAUUUCUGCCCCAUGAGAUUAUUUCCACCUCAGAUGAGAUUAGACUUAAGGUGGCAUUGGUAUUGGCUGUGGGAAAACGGAAGAUAUCUCGAGGGCUCUUCAGUGACUUCCAUCCAUACAUCCCUUUUACGGGAUAGUGGCUUCUAAAAGCUUCCUUCGAGAUGGGAGGUAGAGCAUUGCACUUAUCUUCCCUAGUGUUCACCAAUAAGUUGACUUUGAUUUAUUACACGUAACUUCUUACUAGCCAGUCAGGUUUACAAAAUGAUACGGAGUGAAUUACCUGAUGUUUAUGUAAUAAAAAACGUCAUAUACCCAAA